UAGAUCCGUAACUUUGGGAAAAGGAUUGGCUCCAAGGAUUGGGCCUAGGAGUCCCUGGAGGGAUGUGGCAGCAGCUGACACGGACUGCGGCGCAAGCUGCGGACUGUGCUGGUAGCUCCUCGGACGUCCAGGGAAUGCUUCGGCGUUUCCUAGUGCGAUGAACAAUCAGCUUGGAACUGGAGCGGACAAGGGGAAUCCGACUGU
rnacentral:rRNA from 1 species